rnacentral:rRNA from 1 species
UACAGAGGGUGCAAACGUUGUUCGGAUUUACUGGGCGUAAAGCGCGUGUAGGCUGCUUCGCAAGUCGGAUGUGAAAGCCCUGGGCUCAACCCAGGAAGUGCAUUCGAAACUGCAGAGCUGGAGUCCUGGAGAGGAAGGCGGAAUUCUCGGUGUAGAGGUGAAAUUCGUAGAUAUCGGGAGGAACACCAGUGGCGAAGGCGGCCUUCUGGACGAACACUGACGCUGAGACGCGAAAGCGUGGGUAGCAAACAGG